CCAUAAUCACGGCGGGCGACAGCGGAGACUGGGAGCGAAAAAUCCAGGAUCCGGCAACUUUGGGCAGCGCAUGCGCGCCCGCGGCGCUCCAUCCCAAACACACACACACACAUUUUUCCCCCGGACUUGGAAAGUCACCCAAAGCCGCCCCAAGUGCAGGCAAACAGACCUCGCUGACUGAAGGCAAGGACUCCCGCGCAGCCCACCACCUCCCCGCGGCCUCGCUGUCCCUCCCGUAGAAGGGGUCCCGCAGCUGCAGGGUGUGCUUUGGCAUGGACUUCGGACCCCCGGCCCUUGGGAAGCAAAGGAUGAAGUGACGCCCCUACUGCACAAGAGGACCCUCCAGGACCCGCUACGAG